GACGAACGCUGGCGGUGUGCUUAACACAUGCAAGUCGAACGGUAAGGCCCUUUCGGGGGUACACGAGUGGCGAACAGGUGAGUAACACGUGAGUAACCUGCCCUCAUCUCUGGGAUAACAGUCGGAAACGGUUGCUAAUACUGGAUAUGAGCUUGCAAGGCAUCUUGUGGGUUGGAAAGAUUUUUUUGGUUGGGGAUGGACUCGCGGCCUAUCAGCUUGUUGGUGAGGUAGUGGCUCACCAAGGCUUCGACGGGUAGCCGGCCUGAGAGGGCGACCGGCCACAUUGGGACUGAGAUACGGCCCAAACUCCUACGGGAGGCAGCAGUGGGGAAUAUUGCACAAUGGACGGAAGUCUGAUGCAGCAACGCCGCGUGCGGGAUGACGGCCUUCGGGUUGUAAACCGCUUUCAAUUGUGACGAAGCUUUUUGUGACGGUAGCAGUAGAAGAAGCACCGGCUAACUACGUG
rnacentral:rRNA from 1 species